GUCUAUGGCCGUACCACCCUGAACGCACCCGAUUUUCUCUGAUCUUGGAAGCUAAGCAGGGUCGGGCCUGGUUACUACUUGGAUAGGAGAAAAAGUAGCCUUUGUUC
rnacentral:rRNA from 1 species